AGAGUUUGAUUCUGGCUCAGGACGAACGCUGGCGGCGUGCUUAACACAUGCAAGUCGAACGGUAAGGCCCUUCGGGGUACACGAGUGGCGAACGGGUGAGUAACACGUGGGUAAUCUGCCCUGCACAUCGGGAUAAGCCUGGGAAACUGGGUCUAAUACCGAAUAGGACCACAGAACACAUGUCCUGUGGUGGAAAGCUUUUGCGGUGUGGGAUGGGCCCGCGGCCUAUCAGCUUGUUGGUGGGGUGAUGGCCCACCAAGGCGACGACGGGUAGCCGGCCUGAGAGGGUGUCCGGCCACACUGGGACUGAGAUACGGCCCAGACUCCUACGGGAGGCAGCAGUGGGGAAUAUUGCACAAUGGGCGAAAGCCUGAUGCAGCGACGCCGCGUGGGGGAUGACGGCCUUCGGGUUGUAAACCUCUUUCACCAUCGACGAAGGUUCGGGUUUUCUCGGAUUGACGGUAGGUGGAGAAGAAGCACCGGCCAACUACGUGCCAGCAGCCGCGGUAAUACGUAGGGUGCGAGCGUUGUCCGGAAUUACUGGGCGUAAAGAGCUCGUAGGUGGUUUGUCGCGUUGUUCGUGAAAUCUCACGGCUUAACUGUGAGCGUGCGGGCGAUACGGGCAGACUUGAGUACUGCAGGGGAGACUGGAAUUCCUGGUGUAGCGGUGGAAUGCGCAGAUAUCAGGAGGAACACCGGUGGCGAAGGCGGGUCUCUGGGCAGUAACUGACGCUGAGGAGCGAAAGCGUGGGGAGCGAACAGGAUUAGAUACCCUGGUAGUCCACGCCGUAAACGGUGGGUACUAGGUGUGGGUUUCCUUCCUUGGGAUCCGUGCCGUAGCUAACGCAUUAAGUACCCCGCCUGGGGAGUACGGCCGCAAGGCUAAAACUCAAAGAAAUUGACGGGGGCCCGCACAAGCGGCGGAGCAUGUGGAUUAAUUCGAUGCAACGCGAAGAACCUUACCUGGGUUUGACAUGCACAGGACGCCGGCAGAGAUGUCGGUUCCCUUGUGGCCUGUGUGCAGGUGGUGCAUGGCUGUCGUCAGCUCGUGUCGUGAGAUGUUGGGUUAAGUCCCGCAACGAGCGCAACCCUUGUCUCAUGUUGCCAGCGGGUAAUGCCGGGGACUCGUGAGAGACUGCCGGGGUCAACUCGGAGGAAGGUGGGGAUGACGUCAAGUCAUCAUGCCCCUUAUGUCCAGGGCUUCACACAUGCUACAAUGGCCGGUACAAAGGGCUGCGAUGCCGCGAGGUUAAGCGAAUCCUUUUAAAGCCGGUCUCAGUUCGGAUCGGGGUCUGCAACUCGACCCCGUGAAGUCGGAGUCGCUAGUAAUCGCAGAUCAGCAACGCUGCGGUGAAUACGUUCCCGGGCCUUGUACACACCGCCCGUCACGUCAUGAAAGUCGGUAACACCCGAAGCCAGUGGCCUAACCCUUUGGGAGGGAGCUGUCGAAGGUGGGAUCGGCGAUUGGGACGAAGUCGUAACAAGGUAGCCGUA
rnacentral:rRNA from 1 species